UGCUCCCUGGAAUAUUGGCCAACCAAUAUUGUCCCUGAGCCGAUAAUUACACCUUGGAGGCUUUGCCCAAAGGUAUUGUUGUGCAAGUCCGCAAGACGGAAAGCCUGAUAUACCGGACGAGCCACCACCUGAACGCUUGGGUUCAGGACUCAUUUGGUAGCGGUAUUCCGGAGAGUUU
rnacentral:other from 1 species